UCAAUGCUAAAUGCAGACUUCCCGAAAGUUGAAAAAAACUGUCAGACAUUCGGUCUGACAAACCAUGAAAAUCUGUCGGACCGAAACAAAAUCUGUCAGACCAAAUAAAAUUGAUCAAAAUCAAAGAAAAACUUGUGUUUGUAUUUCUAAGACACUUUUUGUUUUUUAUUUUUUCGCCGUAAAAAUCGGCACAAUCCGUACAGCGCAUUUUCAUCUCCUUCCUGUCAUACACCAAUGAUUCAUGGUUCUGCUUCCAUUUUUAUAUGCCCGAAAGGGCAUAUUAUGUUAUACCCCCUGGCGUCCGUCCGUCUGUUAGCAAUUUGGUUUCCGGAGCAUAACUUAAGUUCCAUUUGACCCACAAUGUUCAAACUUCAUAGAAUGAUUUUCCAUAUUGGGUAGAAGAUCCCUAUUGAUUUAGGGGUCAAAAGGUCAAAGGUCAAGGUCACUAUUACCUUGAUACUGAAAACAGUUUCUGUCCGUUAGCAAUUUGUCCGUUAGCAAUUUGGUUUCUGGAGCAUAACUUAAGUUCCAUUUGGCCCACAAUGUUCAAACUUCAUAGGAUGAUUGUCCAUAUUGGGUAGAAGACCCCUAUUGAUUUUGGGGUCAAAAGGUCAAGGUCACUAUAACCUUGAUACUGAAAACAGUUUCCGUCCGUUAGCAAUUUGGUUUCCGGAGCAUAACUUAAGUUCCAUUUGGCCCACAAUGUUCAAACUUCAUAGGAUGAUUGUCCAUAUUGGGUAGAAGACCCCUAUUGAUUUUGGGGUCAAAAGGUCAAAGGUCAAGGUCACUAUUACCUUAAAACUGUAAACAGUUUCCGGAGCAUAACUUAAGUUCCAUUUGACCGACAAUGUUCAAACUUCAUAGGAUGAUUGUCCAUAUUGGGUAGAAGACCCCUAUUGAUUUUGGGGUCAAAGGUCAAGGUCACUAUUACCUUGAUACUGAAAACAGUUGCCGUCCGUUAGCAAUUUGUCCGUUAGCAAUUUGGUUUCCGGAGCAUAACUUAAGUUCCAUUUGGCCCACAAUGUUCAAACUUCAUAGGAUGAUUGUCCAUAUUGGGUAGAAGACCCCUAUUGAUUUUAGGGUCAAAAGGUCAAAGGUCAAGGUCACUAUUACCUUAAAACUGAAAACAGUUUCCGGAUGAUAGCUUAAGUUCCAUUUGACCCACAAUGUUCAAACUUCAUAGGAUGAUUGUCCAUAUUGGGUAGAAGACCCCUAUUGAUUUUGGGGUCAAAAGGUCAAAGGUCAAGGUCACUAUUACCUUGAUACUGAAAACAGUUUCCGUCCGUUAGCAAUUUGUCCGUUAGCAAUUUGGUUUCCGGAGCAUAACUUAAGUUCCAUUUGGCCCACAAUGUUCAAACUUCAUAGGAUGAUUGUCCAUAUUGGGUAGAAGACCCCUAUUGAUUUUGGGGUCAAAAGGUCAAAGGUCAAGGUCACUAUCACCUUAAAAUUGAAAACAGUUUCCGGAGCAUAACUUAAGUUCCAUUUGGCCAACAAUAUUCAAACUCCUUAGGAUGAUUGUCCAUAUAAGGUAGAAGACCCCUAUUGAUUUUAGGGUCACAAGGUCAAAGGUUAAGGUCAUUAUUAAUAACUUAAGUAUUAAUCAACCUACAUCUGUAAAAUUUUAUAGGAUGAACAGCUAAUUCCCAUGUCUUACAAAUGCUUCAUCCUUACUAAAAAAAACACACUUUCGGGCAUAUUAUGCUCCGCCUAGCGGUGCUCUUGUUCAUUAAAUUUCGUCUUGGGUCUAUUCUUUUCAUCCUUUUAUUGCUGUUCUGCGCACUCUUCUGACGUAGAUUUUCGGUUUUUCCCCAGGUUUGGCACCUUUAGCGACGCCAUUUUGUAUACAUGCGGCUUGGAUAAAAGCCGGACAGUCGGACCGAUCCGGAAUAAAAAAUUGUCGGACCUGAUCAAAAUUUAUCGGACAUGUCCGUCGGACCGACGUAUUUCGGGAAGUCUGUAAAUGAUGAUUGGGUUUUCAGACUUCUAUGGUAAAAUUUUCACUCGCCGUACUGAUGGCAUUGUUUUAAAUGAAAGUGUUUUAAAUCUUCUACAGAUGAAUACUGCAAUACUAUUGGUUUUGGCUGCUGUUCAGUAAACAUGUUUUGUGUCACAUAUUAAUAUUAGAUCAAUGCUAAAUGAUGAUUGGGUUUUCAGACUUCUAUGGUGAAAUUUUCACUCGCCGUACUGAUGGCAUUGUUUUUAAAUGAAAGUGUUUUAAAUCUUCUACAGAUGAAUAUUGCAUUACUAUUGGUUUUGGCUGCUGUUCAGUAAACAUGUUUUGUGUCACAUAUUAAUAUUAGAUCAAUGCUAAAUGAUGAUUGGGUUUUCAGACUUCUAUGGUGAAAUUUUCACUCGCCGUACUGAUGGCAUUGUUUUUAAAUGAAAGUGUUUUAAAUCUUCUACAGAUGAAUAUUGCAUUACUAUUGGUUUUGGCUGCUGUUCAGUAAACAUGUUUUGUGUCACAUAUUAAUAUUAGAUCAAUGCUAAAUGAUGAUUGGGUUUUCAGACUUCUAUGGUGAAAUUUUCACUCGCCGUACUGAUGGCAUUGU